rnacentral:rRNA from 1 species
CACGUAGGGGGCAAGCGUUGUCCGGAUUUAUUGGGCGUAAAGAGCUCGUAGGCGGUUCGGUAAGUCGGGUGUGAAACCUCCAGGCUCAACCUGGAGACGCCACCCGAUACUGCUGUGACUAGAGUCCGGUAGGGGAGCGUGGAAUUCCUGGUGUAGCGGUGAAAUGCGCAGAUAUCAGGAAGAACACCAAUGGCGAAGGCAGCUCUCUGGGACGGUACUGACGCUGAGACGCGAAAGCGUGGGGAGCGAACAGG